UAAAAAACUCUGACCUCCAUUUUUCAAUUUUCACAGUUCCAGAGAGAGACAAGAGUGAACUCUUUUAUCUUCUUCCCCACACACCUCCACCACCACCACCUCCUCCUCCUCCACUGCCUCCACCUCGCAUGGAUUAUUGAUCAAUAUAAUUUGGAUAAUUAAUUAUGGCCAAUAUAAAGUCGAAUAGCAAUCGACAGAAUUCUAGAAAGAGUAAUCAGGAGUGUGGAAUUGGGAUGAAUUUUAAUGGAAAUAGUUGCAAGAGUAAGAGUAUGGAUAAGAAGAGAAAAAGAAAGCUUCAGCACCAGCUUUUCACGGAUGAAGAUGAUUACAGGCUACGGCUUCAGGAGGUUUUAUACUCUCCAGAGCACAUUCUCACUAAAAUUUUCCGAAAGGACGGCCCGGCACUUGGGAAUGAAUUCGAUUCCCUUCCAUCAAAUGCUUUUCUCUGCAAUAAGAAAGGUCCUAGAAAGUGUCAUCAUACUUCUGAAGAGAAUUUACAAGUCUAUGAGAGAAGAAAGGCUGUUUGUGAGAAUAGCGUUCCAACACUGCAGCAUGGCAUGGGUAAAGGCUUGAUGACUGAUACGGGUGCUCCAGCAAAGAAAAAUGGCAGGAGUAAAGGUUUAAUAUCUCAAAAGGGUGCUCCUGUGAAGAAACAUGGCAUUGGCAAAGGUUUGAUGAGAGUUUGGCAGAUGACAAAUACUGGGGGUAGAGAGUUUCCUUCUUAUGGUAUUUCCCGUGAGAGCCUCAUCCAACAGAAGAAAAAUAGUUAUCAGCAACGGCAAAAUAUUUUGAGAAAAUUAUCAAACAAAGAACAGGCUAAGAGGAAGCUUCCCCUAAGAAAUAGAAAGGUGGUGUACCAGAAAGUUGAAAAGCGAAAUUGUAAAGAAAAAUGCGAACUUGCUCUGGACAGAGAGAGAUGUCUGGAAAAUUCAGAACACUUUGCAAUGUUAAUAGAUGAUGAGGAACUGGAGCUAAGAGAAUUACAAGCGGGACCAAAUCCAUUAACUUGCUCUGCACACUUUACAACCAAUGGAUCACAUGGUUGUUCGCUUUGCAAAGAUUUGCUAGCCAAGUUCCCUCCAAAUACUGUCACAAUGAGGCCUCCCUUCUAUGUCCAACCAUGGGAUUCCUCUCCGGAGCUUGUCAAGAAACUUUUCAAGGUCUUCCAUUUUAUUUGUACUUGGGCUAUAAAAAUUGAUGUACGUUCAUUCACCUUAGAUGAGUUUGCACAAGCAUUUCAUGAUAAGGACUCGCUGUUGCUUGGACAAGUACAUGUGGCCCUUCUCAAACUUCUUUUAUAUGAUGUUGAGCAGGACCUAAGCAGAGGAUUUUUGCCUCAUGCAAGCAAAAAUCGCAAGUUCUUGGCAUUACUGCACUCGGUUGAAGUUCAAGACUUUGUCCUAGGCUUCUGGCAGAAGUCACUGAACCUCCUGACAUGGACAGAAAUAUUACGUCAGGUGUUGGUUGCUGCUGGUUUUGGUUCUAAACUGGGAAUGGCGCCUAAGGGAGCUCUAACCAAGGAAGUCAAUCUUAUGGCAAAGUAUGGCUUAAAUUCUGGUACAUUGAAGGGUGAACUGUUCAGUACUUUGCUGACCCAAGGAAGCAGUGGAAUGCAAGUCUCAGAGUUGGCAAAAUCCUCAUCUAUUGUUGAGUUGAAUCUUGUGGAUACGAUCCAUGACCUAGAGAAUUUAAUUUACUCGGUUCUCUCAAGUGACAUUACAUUAUUUGAAAAGAUUUCUUCUUCUGGAUAUCGUCUACGAAUCAAUGCAACCACAAAAGAAGAAGAAGCAUGUCCUUCUGAUUGUGAAGACUUUGGGAGCGUUGAUGAGAUUUCUGCAGUCAGUGGUGGAUCCAACCUUGCGGAUGAUUCCAAAUCUGAGUCCAUGGAUUCCAGUCCAGCUAGAGUUAAGCAAGAUCAUUGUAAAAAUAAGAAUAAUAUGUUGACAGUGUACAAUGAAAUUGAUGAGAGCCAUCCAGGAGAAGCGUGGUUAUUAGGUUUAAUGGAAGGUGAAUAUUCAGAUUUAAGCAUUGAAGAGAAAUUGAAUGCUUUAGCUGCAUUGACUGAUCUGCUUAGUGCUGGAUCCAGUAUUAGAACAGAGGAUUUCUUGACACCUAUACUCAACGUCGAAUGUUCUCCAAACAUCAAUCAUUAUGCUUCCGGUGGAAAAAUAAAGCGAUCAACAGUGAAACAAUGUAAACCUGGGCUAAUAGUAGGCGGUGGUAGACAAAUGGCUAGUAACAAUGACGUGAGUACAUCAGAACAGCCAAUUGAUUCAUUAGUUCCUAUGUCAAAGAUUGGUAGCAAGGGAAAAGAUUGCAACACGAGGAAGGAUGCUAAAGAAAUGAAAACAGAGGAAUAUUUACACCCCAUGCAGUCUAUCUUUCUGGGUUCCGAUCGUAGAUACAAUAGAUACUGGAUUUUCUUGGGCCCUUGUGAUGAAUUUGAUCCUGGCCACAAAAGGAUUUAUUUUGAAUCUUCUGAAGAUGGUCAUUGGGAGGUGAUUGAUACUCAAGAGGCUUUAUGCACUUUGUUAUUGACCCUGGACCGUCGGGGUGCCCGGGAGGCUCGCCUUCUAGCAUCCUUGGAGAAACAGAGAGCAUUUCUUUGCCAGGCAAUGUCCAGUAUGCCAAAUGCUGGUAGAAUCAGGCAGCUCACUAUAUUUGAUCAAUCUGAACCGAAUACAUCUAGAGAAGAUAGUUCAUCUCCAGUGUCUGAUGUUGAUAACCAAUUGAGCCUUUGCGAAAUGCAAAAUGAUCUUCCCUCUUCUACCGUUGCUAUAGUUCCUGAAGCCGGGAAGAAAGGAGAACAGAAAGACCAAUGGAGCUGUUCCCAAGCUUUUGGCUCGUGGAUAUGGAAUUCAUUUUAUUUAGAACUCAACUCUGUUAAAAAUGGGAAGAGGUCAUAUAGUGACUCACUCAGAAGAUGUGAACACUGUCAUGACCUCUAUUGGAGAGAUGAGAAGCACUGUGUGGUUUGCCAUACCACAUUUGAGCUUGAUUUUGAUCUAGAAGAAAGAUAUGCUGUUCAUUCUGCAAUAUGUCAGGACAGUACAAAUAUCAACAAUGUUCAUAAGCAAAGGGUGCUGUCAUCCCAGUUGCAAGCACUCAAAGCUGCAAUUUAUGCAAUUGAGACAGUUCUGCCCGACGAUGCCUUUUUGGGGCCUUGGAAAAGAUCUGCUCAUAAUCUUUGGAUCAAUAGGUUACGACGAACCUCGAGUUUGGCAGAGUUUUUGCAGGUUCUUGCUGAUUUUAUCAGUGCUAUCAAUGAGGACUGGUUUUAUCAACUAAAUGACGACUUGAGUCCUAAUUAUCUCCUGGAUCAAAUAUUUACGAGCUUCCCAUCCAUGCCACAAACAUCAUCUGCAGUUGCACUUUGGUUGGUAAAAUUGGAUUUGUUGGUUGCCCCUUAUAUCAAAAGAGCUCAGGCUAAAAACAAAUCUCGAUAUGUUAACUGAUAAAAGAUUGAUAAAUGUAUGAAGGGUAAAUUGGAUCUUAGUGGCGUAAGGUACAAGGCACUGAAAUCAAUAUAGAAUUUCCUGGAGAAUCAUAGAUAAAGAGAAGUAUACGCAUUGGUUUUGGUAAUUCAACUGCCUGAGGUAGGUCCAAAUCUCAUAGUCAUCACCGCACAAUCAAGUUGACAGUUACAAUGUGAAACUUGCAGACUUUCUUUAUUUCUUUGUAAAAAGAGGCGAAUAAUAUAACAUUUCAAGGCCCGAAGCCAAAGGGGAACACCUCCCUCAUACAAGUCACUUUGUUGUGCUCAUUUUUGUCCACUGGUGUACUCCUGUCGAGUUCUUGUUAAAGUACAGCUUUUGAUGGGUUUCCUCUUUCUUUGCCCCAUAAUUUCAAUUUUUGUUACCUUUAUCGGUCACCUGUGAUUGUUUACAGUAGUAGGUUGAACUUUGUUGUUACCUGUGGGAAAGAACAAUGUAAAAUAAAUAAAAUAUUGUUACCGUUUAUCAGCAUUA